rnacentral:tRNA from 1 species
UAAGAAUUAGUUAAUUUAUAAUAUUAAUUUGUCAAGUUAAAGUUACUAAAUAUAUAGUAUUCUUAA